GGACUACUGGGGUUUCUAAUCCCAUUCGCGACCCACGCUUUCGUGUUUCAGCGUCAGGAGCGGCCCAGUCUCUUGCCUUCGCUUUUGGUGUUCCCCUAGAUAUCAACGCAUUUCACCGCUACACCUAGAGUUCCAGAGACCUCUGCCGUCCUCUUAGCCAUGCCGUUUCCCACGCAGCUCUCCGGUUGAGCCGGAGAAUUUAACGCGAGACUAACAUGACCGCCUACACACCCUUUACGCCCAAUGAUUCCGGAUAACGCUCGAAGCACUCGUAUUACCGCGGCUGCUGGCAC
rnacentral:rRNA from 1 species